GACGAACGCUGGCGGCGUGCCUAACACAUGCAAGUCGAGCGGGGAACAUUGAAAGCUUGCUUUUGGUGUUUCUAGCGGCGGACGGGUGAGUAACGCGUGAGCAAUCUGUCUCAGACAGGGGGAUAACGCAGCGAAAGUUGCACUAAUACCGCAUAAGACCACAGAGCCACAUGGCAUAGGGGUCAAAGGAGCAAUCCGGUCUGAGGUGAGCUCGCGUCCCAUUAGGUAGUUGGUGAGGUAACGGCCCACCAAGCCUGCGAUGGGUAGCCGACCUGAGAGGGUGAUCGGCCACACUGGAACUGAGACACGGUCCAGACUCCUACGGGAGGCAGCAGUGGGGAAUCUUCCGCAAUGGGCGCAAGCCUGACGGAGCAACGCCGCGUGAGUGAAGAAGGGUUUCGACUCGUAAAGCUCUGUUGUCGGGGACGAAUGUGGAGAUGGUGAAUAACCAUUUCUAAUGACGGUACCUGACGAGGAAGCCACGGCUAACUACG
rnacentral:rRNA from 1 species